AAAACGAUAAAUGAAGCUGUUUGUUUAUCAAUCCAGAGACUGACCAUACACAUUUUUGUUCCUGGUUUCAUUAAGACAACAUUAUUUCAGGAGUGACAUACUUAACGCAUUUCUGUUAUUGUGGCAUACAUGUAGGUCCUGAAGUUUAGCAAAUACAUACACAUUAAUUAGAUGUUUGAAUUUACAGAUACAGGAUAAAGUAAUUUCCUGGAUAAUUAGAAUAGCUGCUAAAUUUGGAAAACUAAACUUCCUCACCUCUCAAAAUAUUGAAAAGUGCUCAAGAGAAGCAAGAUUUAAGGAUGCAUGAGGAACAGGACAAUAGAUAAUACAGAAAAAUUAGACUUUCAUUAUAGAAGUCAAGGAGGUGGCCUGGUCUAGAGUACUGCGCACUACUGAUUCCUCUCUCUGUUAAUAUGGACAGUGUUCAGAGAAGGGUGACAAAGUAGAGGCCUGGAACAACCCCCAGUGAUGGAGAAUGAAAAUACUGGCAUGGUCUGCUUGAGAAACAGAACAAGCAAACAGGCAGAGUAGAAGCAUAUUAAAUAAUGGAUGAUCAAGAGAUCGCUCUCACACAAGAACAGGGAGAUCCCAUAUGCAAUUAAACAGCAAAUUCAGAACUAAUCAAAAAUACUUUUUUUUUUUUUUUUUUUAAAUGGAACACAUACUUAGAGCAUGGGAUUCCUUUCCACUGAGGUCAAGCACUUAGCAAAGCCUGAAGGAGAUGGAAGAAGACUACCUUUGUAGCUAUUUAAACUCAUCCAUUCAUAACUACAAGGGAGAAUUGACAGAGCAGUUCUGGCAUCUCACUAUGGAUUCAGAGGACCCGAGAUUGGCAGCACAAAACGACCAUUCGAGUUUUGCACUUUGUCCUUCAGAAAGAUGGACACCUGCAAAGAACACCCCGCCCAUGAGAGCACCAGUCAGAUGCCUCCUCACAUCACCUGCUCGGGGCUCAAUCCUGUAGUCCGCCAACUUCAAAGGGAGACCAGUGCGUGAAACAACCAUGUGAUGGGCCCACAACAGUCACACUGCUUGGCAUCAUACCCUGAUUUGAAAUAAACUGCUUGUGCUCAGCUUA